rnacentral:lncRNA from 1 species
AACUUUAUAUCACACAUACAUGUAUUACCAGUUGGUAAUCGUAAUAAACCAAACAAAAACCCUGUUUGAUUGGCUUUGAAUUGGACUAGAUUUCAUUUAAUGAAAGAAUUCAUGGCGAUUUCAAAACCUUUCAACUACUUACCACCGGUCCAAGUUGGUGUAAGCAUUAACUGUAUCCACCCACCACCUUACAUCCCACAUUAAUGCAUCUCUCUCUCUAUAUAUAUAUGUAUGUAUGGUGGUGGCUCUUCACCGUUACACCAGGUCUUUUAGUAUGGCUAGAAAUGAGCAAGAUCUGUUGUCAACUGAGAUUGUCAACCGUGGGAUCGAAUCAUCGGGACCGAAUGCCGGUUCGUUAACGUUCUCGGUUCGGGUUCGAAGACGACUACCUGAUUUUCUUCAGUCAGUUAACUUGAAGUAUGUGAAGUUAGGGUACCAUUAUUUGAUCAACCAUGGUAUAUAUUUGGCUACCAUACCUGUUUUGGUACUUGUUUUUAGUGCCGAAGUGGGUAGUCUUAGUAGGGAAGAGCUUUGGAAAAAGCUUUGGGAAGAUGCUCGUUAUGAUCUCGCCACCGUGCUGUCUUUUUUCGCUGUUUUUGUGUUCACCGUUUCCGUUUACUUCAUG